AGAUAGACAGACAGGCAGACAGAAUAAAUGAAUGGGAAAUUGCCUUCGUCAGAAAAUUCCCUCUUUUUAGUUUCACCGUAAUAGCAAGUGUAUACGCGCACCGCGAAAUAUAGGGGUGGCUAGUUUGACCGCUCAUUUUGAAGUGGAGGCUGGCUUGACCGCAGUCGGACAGAGGCUGGAACAACGUAUCAGUGGAAGAUCAGAAAACGUCGGCAGGAGGUGGGAGAGAAGGCAAUGCAGAGAUGAAGGACAUCAUACCACAAUAAUAGUUGUGUGUAUAAGCCUGAUCAACAAGUGAAAAGAGUCAGAUAAGAGGAAAGAGUUUGAAAACUGAUUUGACGACCACUGCUGAAUUGGCCUGCUAAGAGGAAGAGGCACUAGUGAUUCCAGAAGAGGAAGCCAAAGAAGAAGACCUACACAGACUUUGAAAUGGAUCUCUCAAUUGCCAUGAUGACCAAGAUAUUCAACGGGAAAAUGUGGAAAGCUGCCAUAUUCCCAGUCAUUACUUUGCCAAAUCAUCUGUGCAGCACCACUGAGGGACCCUACUUUCCUGAGUACGAAGCCGGCCAUCAAGGAGUUCCCCGACUGGCAACAGACUGGAGCAGAAGCUGUAGCAGGGACAGCAUUUUCUUUUGCUACUGAAAUAAUUUACAUUAUGAUAGAAAGUGGACAAUAUAGUGUGACAAUUAGUUUUUGUUCUCCAACAUGUACACACUGCUGUUGUGAAGCAGUGAUAUACAGCUCUAAGUGUUUGGGUUCAAAUAACAUUACCAUGAUCCCAUAGGCAUCCAAAAAUUGAGAAAGUGACGUUUUUUAAAACUGAAACAAGGUGUUUGACAUCCUGUUGUGUGUGCAAGCCCUUUUUAUUACCACGGGUUUACAGACAGUCUCUAAUAAUUGGGUAUCACCUUGAACACAGCCAAUAAUUGAGAGACACACCCACCAAACGAGAGAAAACAUAACUCAAGCCGUUGCACCGCGUUCCCAGGAAACAUGCGUGCCCCAGCUCUUUGCCUGAGGGGAAGCCCACAGUCUCAGACUUUUAAAAAAAAAACCUGGUUUAAGCUUUUAACCCUUGUGUUGACUUCGGGUCAAAUUGACCUGUUUUCAACUUUUGUUUUAUAUCAGAAAAUAUGGGACGUAGAAAUAAGUGCUGAAAAUGUGUAGAAGAAAAAAAUUUUUUUCAAGGUUGACGGGAAGACAACACAAGGUAAUGUUUUUGUACAUUAGCCCUUAGUAUAGACCACAGUAGGAUAAUUAUCCCCAAAUCUAGCUACAUACAAGAAUAUAUUUUAAUGUGUUACAGUGUGCUAUUUUCUAUAAUGAUUUGAACUUGUGUAAAUUGUCUUUGAGUACCCUGAAAAGCGCUUUAUAAAUAAAAUGUAUUAUAAGUAA